rnacentral:lncRNA from 1 species
AUUAUUUUAAAUAUUCAUAUCUUUUGUUUGGAGAAAGAGAAAAAAAGGAGAGCAUUAAAUUAAAAAUUAAACUGAGAGAGAGGAAAGUGGUAUGCACAUUUCGUGGUGAGAAGGGAAAAGAAAAGAGAAAAGGUAUGAUCAUUAAAUUAACGACUUGUUUGGUUCCAGAGUGGAAUUGGAAUGCAUAAUGGAAUGUGAAUGAAUUGGAAUAGGAAUUAAAUUACCCCACUGCCCCAAGACGUUUGGUUCAUUUUUGGAUUGAAAAUUAGAAUGAAUUAUUCCUAUUUCACUGUUUGGUUGAUACAAAGUAAAAAAAAUAGAAUAACAUAAUAUUAAUUUUACAUUCAAAUAUAAUUUUAUAAAACUAUCUAAAAUUUAUAUAAAACAAAUUAAUACUACUCUCAAGUUAGAGCAAUGGCAAAAAAAUUAAAUUUAUUUUAAAAAUUUUUAUGCAAGAAAUUACAAAAAAAAUGCAUAAAUUUUUUUUGAAUAAAAUUAUAAUAAAAAUAAUAUAUCACUUUUUUUUUAAUGCUGAGAAAAGAGGGAAGAGAUAGGUAUAGGGGGAGAAAGGAUGGAUAAGGUGGAGAAAUAUUGGGCUGGGCCUGAGGAAGAGGUGAGUGUGGGCUUGGGAUUGAAACUUCAAUCCGGGCUUGGAGACCGGAAUUAAUUUGUAAGCUAAUAGACCAUUCCCAUUCCGAUCUGAAAUGAAAGUCCUGACCGAUUCCUGUGAACCAAACAAAAUUAGCAGGAUUUGAUCAAACCGAUUCCCAUUCCGAAUCCAAAAUGCACGAACCAAACAGGCCCUAAAUCAAAAUUAAGUAAGAGAGACAAUACCAUAGGGAUUUAAAAUUUUAAAAUUUGAAAUUAAAAAAUUAGAAAUAAAUAUUAUAAAUUUUAAAAUUGUAAAAGUUUAAAUUUAGAAUUCAAAUUUCAAUAUCUAAAAUUUAAAAUUUUAUAAUAUAAAAUUUUAAAACCCUAUAUAUAUAUAUA